rnacentral:lncRNA from 1 species
GGGGGCCUGUGACCCGGAGGCGCUGGGGCUGUCCUGGGUCGUCACAUGCGAGAAAUCGUCUCACCCCAGCCAGUGUGACGGAGUGAGAGCAAAAGAAAGUUUUGAUAGCAGCGUACGAUUUAUAUUCAGCUGUAUGCUGGGCAGGUCCAACUUGGCAUUUCUUGGCUGUAUCUCUGAAGGAAAGUCAUCUUAAUCUCUAUGAGCCUCCAUUUCCUCAGCUGUAAAAUGGGAAGAUCUUCCUCACACUGCUGUGGUGUCUCGACUCCCCAAAGCGACAGAUGCUGUUCAUCUCUUGGCCUCUGUGUCAUCAUUCAUCCUUGAUUGUUCGGGGAAGCCCACUCCACCUCUGUGACAGACCCACAGAUGCAGAUUUACACAGGGAAUCCUAGACAGACACAAUGAAGAAACUCCCAUCUGAUCAGAGCCAAGUCCCAGUAAUAACAUCAAUGAAUCAUUGACUUCAGUGAGUCACAAUAUUGAGCUGGAAGAGGCCUCCAAGACCUUUUUAGUCCAACCCUUUACCUGCUAGUUAUUCACAAGUGAAUAGAAACUGAGUGAGGUCCAAAGAGGGAAAAUGACUUGACCAAGAUCACAAAGCUUGGUAAUGCCAAAGACAUUUAGUGAGUGCCUGCUGUGUGUCAUCCAUUGUGACAGUGUUGGGAACACGGAGAUGAAUAAAACAAGGCCCCUGUCCUGGGAGAGCCGAGAGGCCACCUGUCAGCUGACAUCUUAGGGAGGACACCAUCUACAUCCAACCCUGACUACUGAACACUUCCAGUUUCUUGGAAGAAAGAUUUUAAAAUCUUCAGAAAUGAGAACUCCUCCAAAUAGGAUUUUCAUUUGUUUCAUAUAUUUUAAAAUUUUAUAUUUUAAUAUGUAACAGUCAUAUGGUUUAAAUAUAAAAAUGACAUCAGUGGCUCAGUAAGAA